rnacentral:rRNA from 1 species
AGCCAAGUAGCGUGCAGGAUGACGGCCCUAUGGGUUGUAAACUGCUUUUAUAAGGGAAUAAAGUGAGUCUCGUGAGACUUUUUGCAUGUACCUUAUGAAUAAGGACCGGCUAAUUCCGUGCCAGCAGCCGCGGUAAUACGGAAGGUCCGGGCGUUAUCCGGAUUUAUUGGGUUUAAAGGGAGCGUAGGCCGGAGAUUAAGCGUGUUGUGAAAUGUAGACGCUCAACGUCUGCACUGCAGCGCGAACUGGUUUCCUUGAGUACGCACAAAGUGGGCGGAAUUCGUGGUGUAGCGGUGAAAUGCUUAGAUAUCACGAAGAACUCCGAUUGCGAAGGCAGCUCACUGGAGCGCAACUGACGCUGAAGCUCGAAAGUGCGGGUAUCGAACAGGAUUAGAUACCCUGGUAGUCCGCACGGUAAACGAUGGAUGCCCGCUGUUGGUCUGAAUAGGUCAGCGGCCAAGCGAAAGCAUUAAGCAUCCCACCUGGGGAGUACGCCGGCAACGGUGCAACUCAAAUGAAUUGACGGA